ensembl:lncRNA
GUGGUGGUUGUAGAACUGGAUUCCCAAAAAGGAAUGAUUUAGCGCCGUAUUUAGCUGAUCCGAUAACAUACGCAAUAAUGUUUGUGUCUUUAGACAUGAGCGAUGAGCGUCUGGAGGUGGUGGGACUGGAGGGAGCGAUGGAAAUGGGACAAAUCUACACGGGCCUCAGAGUGCUGUCCGGCUCGCCAAGACCUCCCAGAUCACCAUCAGGACAACCAAGGCCCUGCCCAUGCAGAUCGAUGGAGAGCCGUGGAUGCAGCCGCCGUGUACUAUUACUAUCACACACAAGAACCAAGCCUGCAUGCUGAUGGGUCCUCCAGCCAAAUCCUCUGGCUUCUUCAACCUAAAGUAGUGUGUGCGCCUGCGCCUACGCCUGCAUCAGCAACCUGAUGUGUUUGUGUGGUCCAUAUAUAGGAAUUUACACACACACACACACACACACAUUUUAUAUAUAUAUAUAUAUAUAUAUAUAUAUAUAUAUAUA